rnacentral:rRNA from 1 species
UACGAAGGGAGCUAGCGUUGUUCGGAAUCACUGGGCGUAAAGCGCACGUAGGCGGAUGUGUCAGUCAGGGGUGAAAUCCCGGAGCUCAACUUCGGAACUGCCCUUGAUACAGCACGUCUUGAGUCCGGAAGAGGUGGGUGGAAUUCCUAGUGUAGAGGUGAAAUUCGUAGAUAUUAGGAAGAACACAGGUGGCGAAGGCGGCCCACUGGUCCGGUACUGACGCUGAGGUGCGAAAGCGUGGGGAGCAAACAGG